GAGCUACUCCCUCCGUUCGGAAUUACUUGUCCAAGAAAUGAAUGUAUCUAGAUGUAUUUUAGUUGUAGAUACAUCCAUUUUUGUGACAAGUAAUUACGAAUGGAGGGAGUGCAUA
rfam:Triticum aestivum genome assembly, contig: Triticum_aestivum_CS42_TGACv1_scaffold_132539_2BL